UUUAAUUUUAUAAAUUGAAAUAUUAAGAAUAUCUAUUCAUCAGCCAUUGCUCGUUAGUUAUAUUCAUUAUGCUAGUACGCAACUGCAAACUUAAUUACAUAUAAAAUGUAAAGAUGAAAUGAUAUGGGUCGAGUCCUCAUAGUGCAAAUGAAAUCUAUAGGUGUAGGAAGGAUGGAACCAAAAUGAUAAUAACUAAUCCUACGUCCUCCUCCAAUAUUUAAAUAAACUCAAAACCUUGAGCUUGGAUUUCAUCAAUGUAGUUGAUCAUAAUGGUGGCAGCACCCUUGAAAAUGUUUACAUGAAAGAGUUGAAAAAGAAAACAACUAUAUUUAGAUAAAGAUUAAGAAUCAACAUAAAUGUAAAAAGAGGUGUAUAACUUAAUAUACCAAAGCAAAAGUAAAAUCAACAAAAAUAAUAAUAAUAAUUUCCAUUUAAGCUUGAUCAUUGCUGAACCGAGAUGGUAGUGGGGCAUUACAAGUUAUCAACCAAUGUUGAGAGAAAAUUAAACAAUGAAUUAGGCAUCAGUAACACCAUGAACCAGACAACAACCUCUAAAUGAAAUCACGAAUAUCAUAUUACAACUGGUCUAUAACAGUUUUUGAGUAAAUACAAUACCAACUAGUGCCUACAAGAGAUCCAACAAAACUGUGUAAUCCGAUUAGACUAUACAGGACAGUAAACAACCUGCACACAAAUCCUCACGGCAAAUACAAUUCAUAUGGAAUUACAUAGACAGUUAACCACAAACAGUAUAGACCACCAGAGUUCCAAUUCAUUUACCUAAUGAGCAUGCAUUUGUGAUCUUUCUAUACACUUAAUAUCAGGGAACAAGACUUUUAUUACUAGCUCAAAACUAUUUUAGCAAUCAUCACCGUUUGCAUCACUCAAUUAUAGAUUCAACGUUAGCAAUCAUCACCGUUAACUUUCUCAACCCUAUACAAACAUACAAUACAUCCUAGAAACUUAAACCACAAAUUCAAAACUACCCUGAACAGCUAAGGAAACUAUAACGACAAUAAAUAGAUUAUAGAAACUUAACAAAUUUCAGCAUUUGUAAAUUCCUUUAUCUCUUGUAUCCCAUAAUUUCCAGGAUCAGUUUCACAUGAAUAAUAUUUUCCAGAUUUAAAUUAUCAAAUCUUUUCUUUUUCAAAUUAACCAAAAUCACAUUUUAUAACUAGACAUGCGCUCAAUAUUAACAUAACAAAUUUAUGAAACAAGAAUUAAAAUCAAAGACCUAGAUAAGCACCCAAAAACAAACACAUUCAGUUUAGUUCCCAAUGUCCUAAUAUCUCAUUAUAAAACUUCAUUCAACUUUAUCCUAUUUCCCCAAAAACAGACCUGUUUCCUUUAAUUGAUUAACACAGAGUAAAAUAAAAUAAGAAUGAUGUGAUCUCUACAUUAUCAAGAUUAUGAACUGCUUAACUAGGUUUUAGUUUAACUUAAUUCAUUUCAUANANNAAUUCAUAAUUAAAUUUACUCUAAACACAUGCCCAUUCAUUUGUAAAUGCAUAUCAACCUUGCUCAAAAACGGAAAGCACAAUCACAUUAUAAAAAUUUCCAGCCAGUGCAUUGAUUGAUCAUAAAAUUCAUUUCUUGGUUAUAAGUUUAUUUUCAAUUUAAGAUACAAUGUUCCUAACAAUACAAUGUUCCUGAAUCUCACACAAAUUCAAUGUUUGCUCCUGCAUGCAUUUUCCCCAAUUUCCUUAAAACAACUUUUUUUCCCAGAACGUUUCCCCCCCUUUUACCAAAACCCAUUAACCUCAAAAGCCAUUUUACAGAUUGAACAAAACCAAUGCAACAUUAGAAAAUUCUCAAUUUUUUUAUGCACAAACGAUAACUCAACUCCCCUCAUAAGAUACCCGAAUGAGCAUUAAGAUAGGAGAACAUGUCAGACCUCAUAUAACAAAUGAGUACAGUAAAAAAAACUCCUCAUACCUGGAUUUUGAUUCCUGCACUCUCCCACCGAACACCGUGACUUUCUCAGUCCUCUCUUUCACCCUUAGGUUUCUCAAAAUGCUUGAUUAGGUGUCUCUAUCCUUCCUUCUCUAGCCCCUUUUUCAGGUUUCAUCUAAAUCCCCAAUUCGGAUCCCCGAAACCCUAAAAUCAUGCUCACCAUCCUCUGAUUCUAUCUUCCCUUUACCCACUUUAAAACCAAGCCUUCAUCUCUCUCCCAGCGUUUAAUGUCUGUCGCUAUUUCCCCUGUGGUCCUACAGUUUUAGAUAAGAAAAAAAAAUGAAAACAAAGAAAGAACAAGAGAAGAAAAUAAAGAAGAAAAAAGAAGAACGAGCUUUCGAAUUUAAGCAUGCCGUCGACCCCGAAUUCUCUUUCGCCAAUUUCUUUGGAUUUCUCGACCCAGCUCCAAGAAAGAAGUAAAAAAAUAAAGAGAAAAGAAAUGAGGACAGAAA
rnacentral:lncRNA from 1 species